rnacentral:rRNA from 1 species
AUUGCAGUUGAUACUGGCGUCCUUGAGUGCGGUUGAGGUGUGCGGAAUUCGUGGUGUAGCGGUGAAAUGCUUAGAUAUCACGAAGAACUCCGAUUGCGAAGGCAGCACACUAAGCCGUAACUGACGUUCAUGCUCGAAAGUGUGGGUAUCAAACAGGAUUAGAUACCCUGGUAGUCCACACGGUAAACGAUGGAUACUCGCUGUUGGCGAUAUACUGUCAGCGGCUUAGCGAAAGCGUUAAGUAUCCCACCUGGGGAGUACGCCGGCAACGGUGAAACUCAAAGGAAUUGACGGGGGCCCGCACAAGCGGAGGAACAUGUGGUUUAAUUCGAUGAUACGCGAGGAACCUUACCCGGGCUUGAAUUGCAGCUGCAUGGAGCAGAGAUGUUCCUUCCCUUCGGGGCUGCUGUGAAGGUGCUGCAUGGUUGUCGUCAGCUCGUGCCGUGAGGUGUCGGCUUAAGUGCCAUAACGAGCGCAACCCUUUUCCCCGGUUGCCAUCAGGUAAUGCUGGGCACUCCGAGGAUACUGCCGCCGCAAGGCGUGAGGAAGGUGGGGAUGACGUCAAAUCAGCACGGCCCUUACGUCCGGGGCUACACACGUGUUACAAUGGGGGAUACAGAGCGUUGCCACCCGGUGACGGGGCGCCAAUCGUGAAAAUCCCUCCCAGUUCGGACUGGAGUCUGCAACCCGACUCCACGAAGCUGGAUUCGCUAGUAAUCGCGCAUCAGCCAUGGCGCGGUGAAUACGUUCCCGGGCCUUGUACACACCGCCCGUCAAGCCAUG